GACGAACGCUGGCGGCGUGCUUAACACAUGCAAGUCGAACGGUGAUGCUCCAGCUUGCUGGAGUGGAUCAGUGGCGAACGGGUGAGUAACACGUGAGCAACCUGCCCCAGACUCUGGAAUAAGCGCUGGAAACGGCGUCUAAUACUGGAUACGAAACUGGCCCGCAUGGGCAUGGUUUGGAAAGUUUUUCGGUUUGGGAUGGGCUCGCGGCCUAUCAGCUUGUUGGUGAGGUAAUGGCUCACCAAGGCGACGACGGGUAGCCGGCCUGAGAGGGCGACCGGCCACACUGGACUGAGACACGGCCCAGACUCCUACGGGAGGCAGCAGUGGGGAAUAUUGCACAAUGGGCGAAAGCCUGAUGCAGCGACGCCGCGUGAGGGAUGACGGCCUUCGGGUUGUAAACCUCUUUCAGCAGGGAAGAAGCGAAAGUGACGGUACCUGCAGAAGAAGCACCGGCUAACUACGUG
rnacentral:rRNA from 1 species